UCAUCGAUAGUCUAAUGGUAAGUAUGCCCACUUGUUACCUGGGAGAAGGGGGUUCGAUUCCCCGUCGGGGAG
rnacentral:tRNA from 1 species